GUGGGGAAUAUUGGACAAUGGGGGGAACCCUGAUCCAGCCAUGCCGCGUGUGUGAAGAAGGCCUUUUGGUUGUAAAGCACUUUAAGCGAGGAGGAGGCUACCGAGAUUAAUACUCUUGGAUAGUGGACGUUACUCGCAGAAUAAGCACCGGCUAACUCUGUGCCAGCAGCCGCGGUAAUACAGAGGGUGCAAGCGUUAAUCGGAUUUACUGGGCGUAAAGCGCGCGUAGGUGGCCAAUUAAGUCAAAUGUGAAAUCCCCGAGCUUAACUUGGGAAUUGCAUUCGAUACUGGUUGGCUAGAGUAUGGGAGAGGAUGGUAGAAUUCCAGGUGUAGCGGUGAAAUGCGUAGAGAUCUGGAGGAAUAUCGAUGGCGAAGGCAGCCAUCUGGCCUAAUACUGACACUGAGGUGCGAAAGCAUGGGGAGCAAACAGGAUUAGAAACCCUUGUAGUCC
rnacentral:rRNA from 1 species